UCUACGGGAGGCAGCAGUAGGGAAUAUUGCUCAAUGGGGGAAACCCUGAAGCAGCAACACCGCGUGGAGGAUGAAGGUUUUCGGAUUGUAAACCCCUUUUGUCAGAGAAGAUAAUGACGGUAUCCAACGAAUAAGCACCGGCGAACUCAGGGCCAGCAGCCGCGGUAAUACGGGGGGUGCAAGCGUUACUCGGAAUCUCUGGGCGUAAAGGGCGCGUAGACGGGAUAGCAAGUGAGAUGUGAAAUCCUAGGGCUUAACCACAGAACUGCAUUUGAAACUGUUAUUCUAGAGUGUGGGAGAGGUAGGUGGAAUUCUUGGUGUAGAGGUGAAAUGCGUAGAGAUCAGGAGGAAUACUGAUUGCGAAGGCGGCCUACUGGACCAUAACUGACGCUGAUGCGCGAAAGCGUGGGGAGCAAACAGGAUUAGAUACCCCUGUAGUC
rnacentral:rRNA from 1 species